rnacentral:misc_RNA from 1 species
AAGUCGUAACAAGGUUUCCGUAGGUGAACCUGCGGAAGGAUCAUUACAGGGUUAUGCCGAGCAACCUUUUCAGCUUCUCUCUGAAGCCCGGAGGGGCUCUGGCAGCCACGAUCAUCCACUGUGUGCACCUUUUGUAGAUUGGAAACGUUUCUCGAGGCAACUCGGAUUGAGGACUGCUGUGCGCAAGCCGGCUGUUCUUGUGUUUCUCAAUCUAUGUUUUCAUAUACCCCAAAUGUAUGUAUCAGAAUGUAUUGUUAGGCCUCUGUGCCUUUAAAUCAAAUACAACUUUCAACAACGGAUCUCUUGGCUCUC